rnacentral:rRNA from 1 species
UACGAAGGGGGCUAGCGUUGCUCGGAAUUACUGGGCGUAAAGGGCUCGUAGGCGGCCAACUAAGUCAGACGUGAAAUCCCUCGGCUUAACCGGGGAACUGCGUCUGAUACUGGAUGGCUAGAGGUUGGGAGAGGGAUGCGGAAUUCCAGGUGUAGCGGUGAAAUGCGUAGAUAUCUGGAGGAACACCGGUGGCGAAGGCGGCAUCCUGGACCAAUUCUGACGCUGAGGAGCGAAAGCCAGGGGAGCAAACGGG